CCUAACACAUGCAAGUCGAACGAAGCCUUCGGGCUUAGUGGCGGACGGGUUAGUAACGCGUGGGAACGUGCCCUUCACUACGGAAUAGUCCUGGGAAACUGGGUUUAAUACCGUAUACGCCCUUCGGGGGAAAGAUUUAUCGGUGAAGGAUCGGCCCGCGUUAGAUUAGAUAGUUGGUGGGGUAAUGGCCUACCAAGUCUACGAUCUAUAGCUGGUUUUAGAGGAUGAUCAGCAACACUGGGACUGAGACACGGCCCAG
rnacentral:rRNA from 1 species